GCUCCUGCUCCUGCCUCAACUUUCCAAAGUGCUGGGAUUAUAAGUGCACGCCAUCAUGCCCGACCUGACUUGAUGACUUCUUAAGAUUCAGUGAAGCCUGACUCAUUGCUCCAGCUGGAGAGUUGAUUAUGACACAAUGCCUGCCUUGAAGAGGAGUCUUGGAUGUGUGUUUAGCCUGUUGGUUUUAACUGCUGCCCAUUGCAGAACGUCUGGUCAAGUCCCUGAAACAGUCACACUGGAGUCCACUGAGGGACGACGGCUGCCGAGCCUGCGGUCUGUACCCUGCUAAGUGGGCCUGAUCAAUGAGCAGCAAGGCUGUAUCUCCUUGCAGCAAGCUCCCUCUGCAUGUGAAUGUCUCCAUGCCAGAGUUCAAAAUGCACAGUGAAAUGAAGCAGCUUCUCUUAUUUUGACCUUUCCUUGAAUCUCUCUAAAUGCAUCCUUGAUCGUUAACAUUCAAGGCUUGCUUUUCCAAGUUGUCUCUCCUUCCCUCCACACCCAUCAGGGCUGAAUGGGGAGGCUCCCAUCCACUUUCCUGUGGCCUCUUCCAUGAGGCUCUUGAGCGCUAUCCAGUCCUGGCUUAUAGUACCUUAAAAGUCAACCUCUAUGUAGAUAUGUAGCUACAUCAUGGAUGUUUAGGAAAUUUGAAAACAUUUCCUCUGUAGAUAAAUUCUAGAUUUCAAGACUAUUGUCUUGCUGCGGUCUCAAAAAUUCUGUUCCACUUGUCAAACGCUGGAUAUAGACUCCGCAUUCUUGUGGUAAUAAUCCCAAACCUCCCUAAUAUAAAUGGACGUCUCUGGCAAAACAGAGAGAAAUACAAACAAGAAAAGCACACUGAUAGAUUUUAAAAUAUAUAUUAUUCUCAUGCGUUAUUUCUUAUUUCCAGAAAGGCAGUGUUUUAUUCGGUAAGGAGGUUUCAUAGCACUAUAUUAUCAAUACUGUGUUUUGUGUGGUGGGAGUUAAACUGGGUUUUAUGUGCUGGCCUAGGAGUGUGAUCAUUAUAAAUAACAUGAUUUCUAUGGGAAAAUUUCUUGAGAGAGCCUAAUAACUGACUUCCAAAUGAAUUUUUGGAACACAGAUGGUUUGUAAGUUGAGAAUGAACAGUAUUCCACUUUAAAACCAAAAACUUCCCUGAGUUAAACAAAAUGUAACCUAAGGAGGAUGAUUAUCUUGGACUAGAAAAAUUAAUAUUUCUAGUUUCUCUGUUUUUAUAACUUACUUCCUUAGCUUUUUAGCACAAAUAUAAUAGAUCAGAGAGGCCAAAUUUGAACUAUAAACUAGAGGCUGUGGUGAAUUAAAUAUAUUUGCUUUGUUCUGCAGAUGUUAAACACAAUUCCCACAAAAUUUGAAAGGUGGAGUUAAUUCUGACUUCGAUGAAUCUAAUGAGCAUCUGUUCUGAUUUUUCUAACCAUUGAUCUUAUUUUCUUUUAACUUGAUACUGUAUGGUUUACACAAGUCCAUGUGAUAAUUGCAAAUAGCCAAAGGUGAAGUCAUUCCAGAACCCCCCAAAACAGUUUUUUUUCUUAAAAUGUCAAAUGAUUCUUUGAAGAUAUUUAACAAUUUAAUAUGAGUGCAGAAUAUGUGACACAUAAAUACAUUUACAUUUAUUUCUAUAAAUGUGUCUACACAUAAAUACAUAACUAACUAAAGAUUGAGAUAUUUCUUUCUAUAAAAGAAAGAUGUUUCUUUAACAAGGAUAUAGAAAAUUAUGAAAUUCCAUGUUAUGAGAUGAAUUGUCUUCUUCCAAAAUUCAUAUAUUAAAGUCCUAACCCAGCGUACUUCAUAAUAAGACCACAUUUGGAAAUAGGGUCUUAAAGAGGUAAUUAAUUUAAAAUGAGGUCAUUAAGAUGGGCCCUAAUUCAAUAUGACUGGUGCUCUUACAUGAAGAGGAAGUCUUGACACAGCCACAUGUACAGAGGGAAGACCACAUGAAGACAAAGGAAGAAGACAACCAUCUACAAGCCAAGGAGAGCAGCCUCAGAUGAAACCAGCCCUGACGAUACCUUGAUCUCCGACUUCUCACCUCCAACAUUCUGAGACAAUCAACUGCUAUGGCAUAAGCCCCUCAGACUAAGGUACUUUGUUACGGCAGCCCUAGCAAAUCAACAUGCUCCAUAACCUAAAAUUAUGCCAAGAGGUACAAAACACAAUUAAGGUUAUUUGUUCUGCAGAUGUUGAACAAAAUCUGCACAAUAGAUAUUUUAUACUAUAUUAAUAGAUUGUAGGUUUUCAAAUUAGGUUACAUAGUGAUAUUUUGGAGUUCUGCAAAUGCCUUAAUUUAAAUUUUACUCUAGGCUAUAUUUUAAAUGUUUUAAAAAUAUAUGUAAACAUUCAAAUAUAUUGGAUAUCAAAAUUCAGUCCAUUGCAGGCUUUCAUUUCACUAACUUGCACUGCCCUGUUAUACCAUCAUUGUGUAGAUCUCAGAACAAUGCUUCUCCUAAUAUCACUGUG
rnacentral:lncRNA from 1 species